GCCCACAGUACCUGGUUUUAAUGCUCCCGUUCUUCCUUUUGCUCUUUUAUUUUCUUUCCCUUCCCCCGCUCACCAUCUUUUUUCCCUGCUCAUGGUAUUGAGGGUACACUCUGAGGAGCCCCCCCUUAUUUUUUUUUGGGGGAUCCAUGCUGGUAGAUCAGAGAGACAGAAUAAGCCACAGCUAUCUCACCUUGCCAAUUCCUUUAGCUGGUCCUGUUUCCUCAGACUGGAAGCUUCUGUGUCCUCAUCCCAAUGAGCCCCCCCUUAUUUAAAUAAUUUUUUUUUUAGACAAGAUCUUGCAACGUAGAUAAGGCUAUCCUCUAAUUCAAGGUCUUGUUACGUAGACAAGGCUAUCCUCUAAGAUAGCUUUAAGAUCCUCCUGGCUGGGCGGUGGUGGGCACACGCCUUUAAUCCAGAUAUUUGGGAGGCAGAGGCAGGUGGAUCUCUGUGAGUUCGAGACUAGCCUGGUCUACAUAUUGUAGUUGACUGUCCAGAAGAUGCAGAGCUGCUGGUAAUUGAUGACCAGGUCCAGGACGGUCCGGAAGCCUUCGGCAAUGUCGAACUCGUCCAUGCCACUGCCUUGCUCCCAGGCGUACACGCUCCUGCGUCUUCUGGAAAUCUUCUAAUUGCCUGUGGAUCUCCCGGACUAACAUCGAGCGCUCGUUUUGUUGGGAGUCAUAGCUCUUCAGUGAGCUGAGGAACACAACGAUGUCGGCAUCCGAUCCAGAUUUCAGA